GAUAAACGCUGGCGGCGUGCCUAACACAUGCAAGUCGAACGAUCCCGCAAGGGAGAGUGGCGGAAGGGUGAGUAACACGUGGGAAUCUACCUCCUCGCAGGGAACAACCUCUCGAAAGAGAGGCUAAUACCCAAAAGGGUCAGAAAUGAUCAGAGUCGAAAGGCGUGAGGAGAGGAGCCCGCGGCCCAUCAGCUAGUUGGUGAGGUAAUGGCUUACCAAGGCUACGACGGGUAGGGGAUCUGAGAGGAUGUCCCCCACACUGGAACUGAAACACGGUCCAGACGCCUACGGGUGGCAGCAGUGAGGAAUAUUGGACAAUGGGCGAAAGCCCGAUCCAGCAACGCCGCGUGGAGGAUGAAGGCCUUCGGGUCGUAAACUUCUUUAGAGGGAGACGAGAAAGGACGGUAUCCCUAGAAUAAGCGACGGCAAACUACGUGCCAGCAGCCGCGGU
rnacentral:rRNA from 1 species